UUGAGAAGAAAGAAGAAGGUUGGUUAGUGUUUGUGAGUCGAAUAUGACUUGAUGUCAUGUGUAUGAUUGAAUAUAAGAACUUAAACAGCAACCGGAUCUUAAAGGCGUAAGAAUUGUAUCCUUAUUAGAAGACACAAAGCCAAAGACUCAUAUGGACUUUGGCUACACCAUGAAAGCUUUGAUAAGCAAGAAGAAGGUUGGUUAGUGUUUUGGAGUCGAAUAUGACUUGUUGUCAUGUGUGUGAUUGAGUAUAACAACUCAAACCGCAAG
rnacentral:sRNA from 1 species